UGGAACAAAUCGUUACUAUACGGAAAAUAAAUUACUCAUUUUUAUGUUAUCUGGGUUAAACAGUGUGAUCUGGGUGCUACUUCAUGUGCUAUUUUAUCAUAUUCACGCUGUCCGCCGGCAUGCAUAAAUAAUAUAAUGGGGUAGUUAAAUGAAUAUAUUUUUGCAUUUAGCUGUAAAAUAGCUUAAUUAACGUAGCAUAAUAUUAUUGUAUAACUGAAAUUAUUUCUGAUAACAAUAAGUACAAUUUUAUUAACUAGUCCAUACAUGCUCGUGAUUACAUAUAAAACGUAUUUAUAAGAAAGUGAGAUUGCCAUAAGUAUUUUAUAGUUUACUAUAGUGAAUACAUGUUCGUGAUUACAUAUAAGUAACUAAGAAGAUCUCGGCUAAAUUUAAGUUUAAGGUACUUAACAAAAUGUCAAUCCAAGUGUCUUAUGCUUGCUUGCAAUAUUUAGACGAUAAACUGAAAUAUUAUUAUGCACCGAUAGAGACCAUAUUUUAUAAGAAGAAUGAUCAGACUCCUAUCGUUGCAAAAGAUUUACUAGAUUUUGAUAAGACACACAAAUACUAUGUUUUAUGGUUAAAAGGUAAAAAUGAAGUACCUAUUUCUGGUAAAAGAGAUGCUGAAUCAGAAUUUUAUGCUGCCUAUAUCAUAUGUCUAGGAGAAAUGGAAGAUGAUGCUAGACUCAGAGCAACAAAUAAAUGCAAGCGAUUAAUUGUUCCAAAAAACUAACUUCCAGUGAGUCUAAUGAAAGUUUAUUUGAAAGCCGAGCGUUAAAACCGAAAACUGGAAAAAUUAUUAAAAAUAUAGUACAAAAAGUAAACAGUCAACGAACAAUUGAGAAGUAUAAACAAUUAACUCUCAUGAAUAACAGAAAACCAUUAUUUCUUGGUACCAGUACAAAUGAGUAUCCAACAGAAAAUAAUGCAAGGGAUGUUCAAAUCGAUUCUAAUUGUAGACGUCGUAUUGACGCAUACACAAUUUAAAGGUGACGAAAACAACGAAUCUACCUGAAGUUAGAGUAGUUUUACAAGAUAUUUGUAAGACCAAUAGAGAUGUAUUGAAACUUAAAGAAAAUGUAAAUAUACAUAAUAUGGUUAAGUGCGUAUCAUUACCUAUUGCUUUUUCAACUCCCAAACGCAGAGUUGAGAAAUGUUCACUGUCACUGAAUUUUCAAUCUCAUAAACUAUAUGAGCUAUGGACUUCACAAGCAGAGGUUACAAAAUCACAACAAGUAAAUAUCCAUCGGAUUACUUCGUCCUUAGAAAGAGAUGAUAAUGUUUUCAUAUCCAUCCUACAAUUUUCACCGAUUCUUGGUGGUUCGCAACUACCGCAAUCUCAAACACCACAAAGAUCAAGAGAUAAGAUGCCGUUUCGUUUACAGACUCCGGUAACUUCUACAGUAAUUGGUCCAGGAGAUCAUCAUUCGCCAAGUGUUCGUUUUUCAAAGUUGCGUUGCAAUAGAUUAUCGGGUUUGCAAACGACUCCGCGUAUAGAUUCUCCAAUACCUUCAGAUAACCGCGCUUCACAACAUUCGCUUUCAAAUGCUUCUCUAAAUUUAGAUUGUAGAGAUCAGUCAGAUCACUCUGAUUUAAGAAUGCCUUCACGUUCACGGAUUGGUCGUUUGCCUUUAAUAGCUUAAAAUUCGUCAUCAGGAUUUAAAAAUAUUUCAGGUCCGAAAAGUCAGUCGUCUACACCAUUUGUACCUUCUAAUAGGUUGUAUUCACCAGUGAUGUCUCCACAAUAUCCUCCUUAUAAUACUCCGUCAUGUUCAGAAGCAGUUUCGCUCUCGAAAAGUCAGUCGCGUUCGCUAGCAGGAUCUGGAAGACGUUCGCGCUUGAAAAGUCGGUCGUGUUCGCUAGCAGGAUCUCGAACGGAACAAGAAACGCCUACUCGAACACCACCAAGACGGCCAGGUCCACGUUCUCUUACCCAAGAAGUAGUGCCCACUCGCACAUUACCGAUACAUCCAGGUUCUGCUUCACCAGGAAGAGGAGAUUUUUUUAACUAGCUUUAACUAACUUUAGACGAGCUAUAUUUUCUCAGUGUUCACUUUUUGAGGUUGAGAUUGAAACGUACGCAAAGAUCGCGCGCGAAAACGAACAAUCAAUUAGAGAAUGUCUUUUUUAUAGAAGGAUUGCUGAUUCUAGAUAUCACAUUAUUGUGUAUAUAACAUUUAUGCUAUAAAAAAAUGUAUAAUUUUUAGGAGGAGAAUCUGAUUCUGCUGUCCCGAUGCUUCAACAAUACAAACCUAAGCUUUACAGAAAGUACAAAAAAGCAGGAUACAAUUUAGACUCUGAUAUUCCAGAAUCACACAAACGAUACGACAUUGUUAGGAAUAAGGUAUACCUAGGUGAAAGCAGGACAGUAGGACAAAACUCAUGGCGGAUCAUUAGAUCUAAACGAAAGACUGCAUUCUUAAGAGACUUGGGAACUGUUUUACGGACCAAAAAAGUGAUAGCUCUAAGAAGCUUAGAUUUAUGUAAAUUAAAACAAAAAACUUUUGAAACAAAGCCCAUAGAACUAUAUUCACUUAGAAAAAUAAAUGAAUAAUCUAAGUUUGUAUAGCGAUUUCCUAGACACCUCUAAUAGGUAUAGACAAUUACCACAAGAAACCAAAGACACUCUUAUAAAGAAUGCGACAGAAAGUUUAAGCUUUCAUUCAAGAGAUGAGCGGAAAAAUCAAGAUGAACCAAAUAAUUAACCUUGAAAACUUUAAUGUUUAGAUUACAGUUAAUUUAAUUUUGCGUUUUAAUUUAACAGUUUGCGUUUAUAAGUUUAUAAAUUUAUAACUGAAUCAUAAAAGAAUUGUUAUGUUGGUAUUACAUCUUAUGUAAAACUUAGUUUUGAAAACUAAAAACAAAACGUUAUGUUCAAAUUACAUUUUAUGAAAAUCUCGCUAUGAAAAAAUGAAAAUAAAUAUUUUUCUACUUA